rnacentral:rRNA from 1 species
UAAAAGGCCGCGGUAUUAUGACCGUGCAAAGGUAGCAUAAUCAUUAGUUUUUUAAUUGAAGGCUAGAAUGAAUGGUUGGACAAGAAAUAAUCUGUCUUAGUUUAAUAUAUUGAACUUAACUUUUAAGUGAAAAGGCUUAAAUGAUCUGAAGGGACGAUAAGACCCUAUAAAACUUUAUAUUUAAAUAUAGUAGUUAGUUUUAUGUAGUGUUACUAUUUAAAAGUAUUCGGUUGGGGUGACAAGAAUAAAAUAAAAAAUAACUGUUUAUUUUGUUUACAAGAAUAUGUGGGUUUAUGAUCCUAAGAACGGAUUAAAGAUUAAGUUACUUUAGGGAUAACAGCGUAAUUUUCUUUGAGAGUUCUUAUCGACAAGAGAGUUUGCGACCUCGAUGUUGAAUUAAAAGUUCUUUAUAGAGUAGAGACUAUAAUAGAAGGUCUGUUCG